AUUGAACGCUGGCGGCAGGCCUAACACAUGCAAGUCGAACGAGUGGCGGACGGGUGAGUAAUGUCUGGGAAACUGCCCGAUGGAGGGGGAUAACUACUGGAAACGGUAGCUAAUACCGCAUACCAUCGGAUGUGCCCAGAUGGGAUUAGCUAGUAGGUGGGGUAACGGCUCACCGAGGCGACGAUCCCUAGCUGGUUUGAGAGGAUGACCAGCCACACUGGAACUGAGACACGGCCCAGACGCCUACGGGAGGCAGCAGUGGGGAAUUUUGCACAAUGGGCGAAACCCUGAUGCAGCCCUGCCGCGUGUAUGAUGAAGGCCUUCGGGUGGUAAAGUACUUUCAGCGAUGAGGCGUUACUCGCAGAAUAAGCACCGGCUAACUCCGUGCCAGCAGCCGCGGUAAUAC
rnacentral:rRNA from 1 species